CGGAGGAGCAGAGCACCGGGAGGCCCAGGGAUGUGGCGAGGCAGCCGCGGUGUCAGAAAGAGGAAGGCAGGAGGCUGAGGCUGAGGGCCCUGGAAUCUCGCACAUUCCAGGGUUCAGAAAGAUCACGGUGGGGUCCACCUGUGGAGUCCACAAAAGAAAAUGUACAAUGUGGCCACAGGCCUGCUUUUCCAAACUCGUCAUGGUUACCAUUUCAUGAACGGCUUCAAGUCCAGAAUGGUGAGUGCCCGUGGCAAGUGAGUAUCCAGAUGUCACGGAAACACCUCUGUGGAGGCUCAAUCAUACAUUGGUGGUGGGUUCUGACAGCCGCACGUUGCUUCCCAAGAACCCCAUUAGACAUGGCCGUGGUAAAUGUCACUGUGGUCAUGGGAACGAGAACAUUCAGCAACAUCCACUCGGAGAGAAAGCAAGUGCAGAAGGUCAUUAUUCACAAAGAUUACAAACUGCCCCAGCUCGACAGUGACCUCUCUCUGCUUCUACUUGCCACACCAGUGCAAUUCAGCAAUUUCAAAAUGCCUGUCUGCCUGCAGGAGGAGGAGAGGACCUGGGACUGGUGUUGGAUGGCAGAGUGGGUAACGACCAAUGGGUAUGAGUAGAAUCCUGUUUCCUUCUGAAGCCCUUCCUAAUUGAUAUACUUAGGGCCAUCUUCCUUAACACCCCAGACCUGCUGGUUUCGGAGCCAUCGACCUCCUCAUUUCCACCGCAGAGGGCUGGAGGAGAUUCAGAAAAUCAGGGCAGGGCCCAGGAGAAGGUUCUUUCAGAGCAUGGCUUCAGCCUGGUUACUUCUGACACCAGCCAGGAGGAACAGACUUUUUCCCAUACAGCAGGUACCAGCAGAAGUACCUGAGCAAGAUCACCCUCAGCUCCUGCAGCCUCAGGGCACCCGAGUGUCCUGUCCACUGGGCAUUUGUUACGGACAAAGAUUUGUGUGGCCUUUCACUUUGCACGCUGAAGCUUAACCCUGGCUGCAACGGGACAGGGGGCCACCAAGGAAGUCAUUAAGGUUGACUGAGGUAUAGGGUGGUGCCCUGGUCGACAGGAUGGUGGCCUUAUGAGGACACUUAUAAGAUGGACGCCCACUUGUCCCCCGACCCCUCUGGCACA
rnacentral:sRNA from 1 species